GUGCCAGCAGCCGCGGUAAUACGGAGGAUGCGAGCGUUAUUCGGAAUCAUUGGGUUUAAAGGGUCUGUAGGCGGGCUAUUAAGUCAGGGGUGAAAGGUUUCAGCUUAACUGAGAAAUUGCCUUUGAUACUGGUAGUCUUGAAUAUCUGUGAAGUUCUUGGAAUGUGUAGUGUAGCGGUGAAAUGCUUAGAUAUUACACAGAACACCGAUUGCGGAGGCAGGGGACUAACAGACGAUUGACGCUGAGAGACGAAAGCGUGGGGAGCGAACAGGAUUAGAUACCCCAGUAGUCC
rnacentral:rRNA from 1 species